CGCUGGCGGCGUGCUUAACACAUGCAAGUCGAACGAUGAAGCCUAGCUUGCUAGGUGGAUUAGUGGCGAACGGGUGAGUAAUACGUGAGUAACCUACCUUUAACUCUGGGAUAAGCCUGGGAAACUGGGUCUAAUACCGGAUACGACCAAUCUCCGCAUGGGGUGUUGGUGGAAAGCGUUAUGUAGUGGUUAUAGAUGGGCUCACGGCCUAUCAGCUUGUUGGUGAGGUAACGGCUCACCAAGGCGACGACGGGUAGCCGGCCUGAGAGGGUGACCGGCCACACUGGGACUGAGACACGGCCCAGACUCCUACGGGAGGCAGCAGUGGGGAAUAUUGCACAAUGGGCGCAGGCCUGAUGCAGCGACGCCGCGUGAGGGAUGACGGCCUUCGGGUUGUAAACCUCUGUUAGCAGGGAAGAAGAGAAAUUGACGGUACCUGCAGAGAAAGCGCCGGCUAACUACGUGCCAGCAGCCGCGGUAAUACGUAGGGCGCGAGCGUUGUCCGGAAUUAUUGGGCGUAAAGAGCUUGUGGCGGUUUGUCGCGUCUGCUGUGAAGGCCGGGGCUUAACCCCGUGUAUUGCAGUGGGUACGGGCAGACUAGAGUGCAGUAGGGGAGACUGGAACUCCUGGUGUAGCGGUGGAAUGCGCAGAUAUCAGGAAGAACACCGAUGGCGAAGGCAGGUCUCUGGGCUGUAACUGACGCUGAGAAGCGAAAGCAUGGGGAGCGAACAGGAUUAGAUACCCUGGUAGUCCAUGCCGUAAACGUUGGGCACUAGGUGUGGGGGACAUUCCACGUUUUCCGCGCCGUAGCUAACGCAUUAAGUGCCCCGCCUGGGGAGUACGGCCGCAAGGCUAAAACUCAAAGAAAUUGACGGGGGCCCGCACAAGCGGCGGAGCAUGCGGAUUAAUUCGAUGCAACGCGAAGAACCUUACCAAGGCUUGACAUAUACUGGACCGCAUCAGAGAUGGUGUUUCCCUUCGGGGCUGGUAUACAGGUGGUGCAUGGUCGUCGUCAGCUCGUGUCGUGAGAUGUUGGGUUAAGUCCCGCAACGAGCGCAACCCUCGUUCUAUGUUGCCAGCACGUUAUGGUGGGGACUCAUAGGAGACUGCCGGGGUCAACUCGGAGGAAGGUGGGGAUGACGUCAAAUCAUCAUGCCCCUUAUGUCUUGGGCUUCACGCAUGCUACAAUGGCCGGUACAGAGGGUUGCGAUACUGUGAGGUGGAGCUAAUCCCUAAAAGCCGGUCUCAGUUCGGAUUGGGGUCUGCAACUCGACCCCAUGAAGUCGGAGUCGCUAGUAAUCGCAGAUCAGCAACGCUGCGGUGAAUACGUUCCCGGGCCU
rnacentral:rRNA from 1 species